AGUAACGCGUGGGUAACCUGCCUCAUACAGGGGGAUAACAGUUGGAAACGACUGCUAAUACCGCAUAAGCGCACAGGAUCGCAUGAUCCGGUGCGAAGAACUCCGGUGGUAUGGGAUGGACCCGCGUCUGAUUAGCCAGUUGGCAGGGUAACGGCCUACCAAAGCGACGAUCAGUAGCCGACCUGAGAGGGUGACCGGCCACAUUGGGACUGAGACACGGCCCAA
rnacentral:rRNA from 1 species